ACCAUGUGCUGGUUGCAACCAUCGGCCAGUAGGACGGACGUGUACCAUGGUAGAGGGUACAGUUUUUUUUACUCCUCGUAUUCUUGGGCCGUCGAGCCAAGACGAAGAAGAAGAAACCAUCAUCGGCCUUACUACCUGUCAUAUACCCUGCAUGGAUGGUUGGAUGGUUGGUUGGUUAGGUGGCAGGCAUCCCACCAUCUACGUGCAAUGGUAGUACCGCUGGUCUCAGCCCUCAGUAGGCCAAAGCUUUACUUGCUUGUUCGAGAGUGGCUUUGGCGAGAGGUGGAAAAGGCAACAUGGCUUGGGUUUGUGGCAUUGAAUUGCAUGAUGGUGAUGACACUGACCGGAUCAGCAGCAAUUGGCCAAGUGACGGGGCUCGGCGGCCACACCGAUGAUAACCAGUUUCUGCUAUCUUUGACCGAUAUCUCAUUUUGGGCUUCAUUAAUCAUGCCCCCCCCCCUUUCUUACCGGCGAAAAUUCCUGGCCUUGUUUUCUUGGACAGUUUCUCCAAUCUGGGGAGCUCAUUUAAAUUGGCCUCAAUUCUGUUUGCUCCAGUGAUCCAGUGAUUUCCAAAGACUGAUGACUCUCAAGUUUUCUCCGGAAAGCAACAAGUGGCUACGGUGGAGCCAAAAAAGGACUUCAAAAGUGGAGUAACCAUGGCAGAAAAUGUAUCAUCACAUCAAGUUGUUAUCUACGUAAAGCCUUUUCCAUCUGACCAAUUCAGGUUUCGGCGGCGAAAUUUCCCGGGUAAUCGUCAAGAGUCAUUUGAAGAAAACCACGUGCACUCACAACUCCCAUACUUUCACCGAGGAAACCAAGUCACGUCAGGCCAUUUUUGGCCAUAUUCCUCUUCUGGAAUAUAAUUGGAGGAAAUUGUCUCGUUUUGCAGAGAGAACUCGCCUUCGCCCAGAUGAUAACUCACUCAAUCUCAGCGAGUCUUGCUUCACUCUUCAAGCAAACAAUGCGCGAUUACUCGUUACCGCGGGUUUCGAUCUCCAAUGCGAACCGUGUCAACCACACCCUGUUUGCAGGGCUUGUCACGAUCUCCAUACCCGAAUUUGUUUGUAGCUCUGUUUCAAAUGUCAUUGCUUGGCGUUUCUCAUUUUUAUAUCUUUCAAAACCAAAGUUAUUUCAAUCCAAUGGAACUGGUGACGUCACGUUCCCAAAUAAAUCCCCAUGAGUAAUCUUC